AGCUUUCCAUGGUGUGUUUAUGACAAGCUGAUCGAGAUCAAGAGGAACAAAGCAAGUAUAAGAAGGUCUCUACAUUUGUCAUCUCUGGAACGCCAGUUUAAUCUUGGACUGCAGUUGAGUUGACAAGUCUUGAAAUACUUGAAGAUAUGUAUGGCGUGUGUUUUAAUUCUAUGACAGGAGCUUGUCUAUAUUCAGUUUGCCAGGGAAUUAAUUGAUUUCACUU
rnacentral:misc_RNA from 1 species